GAAAAUAUUAUGGUGAAUCUACUCUGAUUAUGAAGAAUGGAGAAAUGUGGUAUAUGUUUCAGACCAGAUAGAUUUCUAUCAGAAGUAUUUUUAAAAAUAUUUACGUUAGGGUGCUUAAAUAUAUAACCUUCUAUGAUCUAGAACACUGACAAAUAUGUAUAACCCUUCUCCAGCAAUCCUGAAUAGUGUAUAUAGUACACAACUGCCCCAUUUUAGUAUUGCAUUGCAAAAGAACAAACACAACAUUUUUAAAUACUUUUAGUUCACAUUUUUUAAUGUUUAAAAACUAUGUUAACAGAGCAGUUAUAGAACAGAACUUCUUAUAUUUCUUUAUUUACACCACACUCUGAAAAAAAAAACCCAGUUCUAUUUGAUUAACUAUGAAUAGCAAAGUUUUGUGACUUGUGACUCACUUAAAUCACCCAUCUGAAAUUCAUUUACAAGGUUUUUACAUUAAUAAAACAGUAGUGUGGUACAUGUAUUGGACUCAGAUGAAGUCUAAAGUACACUGGACUCUAGAGAGUGGAUUACAUACCAACGACCAAGAUUCAAGUGUUUGGGGAAAAAAAUACCUUAGACAGUCUAUGUUGGCGUCAACACUAAAAUAAAAGGCAAACAUGCAGGACUUUCAAAGCUUGAUUAGAUAAUGGUUCUUUGUUUUCUUUCCUUCAAAUUUGUGCUCAUAAUUAAUAUUCAGGUUCCAAGUUUACAUUGAGAGAACUAUGUUACCUGGGAGAGAAUGUAAAUUUUUCUAAUUCCCAAACAAAACCACUAAUUUCUAGGAAACAUUUAUUGUUUAUAUGCAGAUCCUAGAGACUUCUAUUUCAGUGCAGAUCAACAACUUCAAAAAUAUACAGCCUCCUAUUUAUUUACAAUAAUAUUUACAUACAAAUGAAGUAUUUCCUGCAAUAAGCCUCAGCUGCAUAGAUUCUUCCUUUAAAAACGUAAAUUUGAGCCUGUAUACAGAUGGGCCCAGUUUCAUAGCCCUUCCUUAGAUAAAAGCCUAAAGAAGGAAAAUGUCUGCACCUUGUGAACUUUACAUAUUUUGCAAGAACUUUCUCUUUGAGAUUUAGUGAUAGUUUUUAGUUGUUAGACACCCCACCUUCAGCUUGUACCUGAAAGCUUUAUCUCGUUAUAAAUAAUUCACUGUAAUUUAGGGGAAGUAUGUCCUGUUGCUAAAGGAUUCUCAAACCUGCCAUCCCCAAGGAAAAUCAUGUAUUAGUAUUGCUAAAUGAUGGUCUGUAUAUUCUUUGUUUUGAAGGUGGCUAGAUGUUUGCUGUAAACUUGAAUGGGAGAAUUAUAUUCUUAAAGUUUACACCCCCUAUAAGCCUAAAGCCAUUUAAAUUGAUAAACUGAGAGAGACUAAUAGAUUUUGCUCUAAGGUAUAAAAUCCAUUAUCUGAUCAUAUUCCUGACCUCCCCCCGACUCCAACUAAAUGUGCCAUAGUCCAACACUGUGCCUCACUGAAUUGGAACUCAGUAUUUCAUUCUUUUGAGAGCAGUUUGUAGCUCCUUAAGCAGAGCAGACCUUUCAGUAGAGAAUUCGCUUUAAAAGGAGGACAGGAUUAUCACCACACGAUUAACACAAACACUGGAGAACUUCUGACACAAAUUCAGUAUUUCUUCUAAGUCUGCAUUUACAAAGGGUCUUUUAUUUUAAUUUCUUUCACAACUGCCUCGCCCCAACCAAAGCCUCACUUUCAUUUCCUCACAGCUUUAAAAAAUAAAAUAUUAUCAUGCCUCAGCCCGAGGUAACACCGAGUGCAGGCAGCCUGUGUUUAGGAAUUUGCACCUGCGCUGCUAUUUUCAACGAGAAGGGGAUAACCAGGUGGCAGCGCUGGAUUCACUCACUUUCUUGCCAUUGCAGAGACCCCUGCCGCCAGGCUCCUUUCCUCCCCUCCCUAAAGCCUGGCUCCUGUAUGUUGCACCAUGAGUCCUAGGAAUCAUCUGGUGAGGGAGGACUAAUGGGAAGUAAAAGGGAGACUCAUUGGCUUAGGGUGGUUCUCAAACUUGAUGCGCUUUAGAAUCAUUUGCUGAGUCCCUCCCUGAGAGCUUCUGACUUCACCAUGUCUGGGAGGGGGCUGAGAAUCUGCAUUCUAAUGAGGUCCCCGAUGAUGCUGAUGCUACUGGUCUAGGGGCCACACUUUGAGAACCACUGGCUUAGAGGCAUGAAUCAAGCUCUAGAAAGCAGUCAGUUCCAGGGUAAUAGUCUUAGGUGCUCGCCGAAGCACUGAGGAAUCUUACCACAACCCUGUGUCCACCACAAGCCCUAUCACCAUCACCCAUCUGGGUGCUUCUUUUUCUCAACAGGGUCUGUAACUGUAAAAAAGGAAAGUGGGUGGAGAGGUUUUUUUUUCCCCCUUUUUUCUUGUUUUCUAACCUCCCAGCUUAUUCCUGGAGAGUUAAAACACAGUUACUAGCACUAAAAACAUUAAAAGUGCUGCGCGCUGGCCUCAAUGACUGGUACAUUGGAGAAGCUAUGCAGCAGCAUCCUUUUCUGUGGUGGGCAGGGCAGGAGAUGAACCAUAGGAGCCAAAAGUCAGACAAACAGAAGAAGGCACACCAAGCCUGAACCCUCCGGACAACAGCAGAGUUACCAGCUGAGGGAUGUCCCUGGAGGUUUCUGACCCAUGAGAGGCCCAAAAAUAUCACUACACAUCCCAGUUAAUGAUAAGGUUCUAAAUUGACUUUGUGAGGGUAAAAUGAAUUGCUAUAAAGUAACAAGGAAAAUAGAAAGUAGCAUAAUAUAGCUUGCAAACUAAAUUAUGUAUUUUUAAAGGUACAGUCAUCCCACUACCUGGCUAUUUCAUUACUUGGUGCUCUAGACAAGCUCCCAAGAACUGACUGGAUCUUGGCUUGUUCUGUUUCUGUCAUUGCUAAUAUAAUAUGGAAAACAUUGCUGAAAAGAACAGAGAUGGCCAUGGAUAUGGCUAGGUUAGGUAUUCAUAUCCAAAUAUCUGAACUCUAACCUAAUGUGGAUAUGAUUCUGUAGCAUUAUAUUAAAAGCUAUGAUGAUGCAAUGCAGGAAAUAACCUUUCAUUCUCCCCCCUAGAGGAUCACGACAGGUGCUUCAAUGCCUGCCUUAUCUAUGGGACAGUAGUGUGAUUCUCAGUGAGAGUGAAGGCCUUUGGGGAUUUGAGUCAGGAAGGGAACAUGGCUAAGUGCCUGGAAACUCUGCCAACAGUCUGCGGUUAGAUUCUACUUGUCUCUGGAUAAGAAAUCUGUGCUCAGUGAACUUAUGUGUUUGGAAAAUUUAACCAGAAUAUAGAGGAAGCAUAAGUCCUGUUUCAAGAGACCAGCUCACGGAGCAUGCACAUUUCUCACCAUAGGCAAGCUAUGGACAAUUCAAUCACAUGGGAUGGCCCCACUUAGGGGAAUGCAGUUCUGGGUUUCCUUGCUAUCCCUAUUCUUUUUCAGCUACAAACUCUCUUCUUUUUCAGUCUCUUCAGUUUCCUUGUGCUCCCUUUAGGAGAGGGACAAGGGUAAGAGUACCAGGCAACUCUGUCCUCCUGCAUGGACAGUUGAGACGGGCAGUAAUGGCACAGUCCUUGGUUGGGGAAGAGAAGAGGAGACAGCACAGACACUGAGACCCCCUUGUCUUCCUCAUCUGGGGGAAGGAAGGUACUCAGUGAUUCUGUCAGAAGCUCUUCACAAAGACUAUCUCUGAGGGUUUUUUUUUUUUUUUUUUCACAAGACUAGAUGGAGAAUUAAUGAAGAAGAAAUAGAAAUGAGGCUUAUUUAAGGUACAAAAUUCUUGUAUUUGUAAUAACCUAGAUUUAUAGAUAUGAUUCUCUGUGCAACUAGCUGGUGGAC
rnacentral:lncRNA from 10 species